rnacentral:rRNA from 1 species
CCUACGGGCGGCAGCAGUGAGGAAUAUUAGUCAAUGGACGAGAGUCUGAACCAGCCAAGUAGCGUGAAGGAUGACUGCCCUAUGGGUUGUAAACUUCUUUUAUAUGGGAAUAAAAUGUUCCACGUGUGGGAUUUUGUAUGUACCAUAUGAAUAAGGAUCGGCUAACUCCGUGCCAGCAGCCGCGGUAAUACGGAGGAUCCGAGCGUUAUCCGGAUUUAUUGGGUUUAAAGGGAGCGUAGGUGGAUUGUUAAGUCAGUUGUGAAAGUUUGCGGCUCAACCGUAAAAUUGCAGUUGAAACUGGCAGUCUUGAGUACAGUAGAGGUGGGCGGAAUUCGUGGUGUAGCGGUGAAAUGCUUAGAUAUCACGAAGAACUCCGAUUGCGAAGGCAGUUCACUGGACUGCAACUGACACUGAGGCUCGAAAGUGUGGGUAUCAAACAGGAUUAGAUACCCCUGUAGUC